CCCCCGCGGCCCCUCCCCUGGGCGCGCGCGCGACCUGGGCGCCAUGGCGGCGGCGACGGAGCGGCGGCCUGAGGCCGAGGCGGGGGACGAGGCCUCGAGUCCGCAGUGGGCCGGGGUAGCGACCCGACUAGGAGAAGGCGAAGAUGCACCGGUGCGGCCUCUGUGCAAGCCGCGGGGCAUCUGUUCCCGCGCCUACUUCUUGGUGCUGAUGGUGUUCGUGCAUCUUUACCUGGGCAACGUGCUGGCGCUGCUGCUCUUCGUGCACUACAGCAACGGCGACGAAAGCUCGGACCCUGGACCCCAGAACCACGCGCAAAGCUCUCGGGCCAUGCCAACCUUGGGUCCCCUCACCCGGCUGGAAGGCAUCAAGGUGGGAUACGAGCGUAAGGUCCAGCUGGUCACCGACAGGGCUCACUUCAUCCGAACCCUCAGUCUCAAGCCGUUGCUCUUUGAAAUUCCGGGCUUCCUGAGUGAUGAGGAAUGUCGGCUCAUCAUCCACCUGGCACAGAUGAAGGGGCUACAGCGCAGCCAGAUCCUUCCCACUGAGGAAUAUGAGGAGGCGAUGAACACCAUGCAGAUCAGCCAGGUGGACCUCUUCCAGCUGCUGGAUCAGAACCACGACGGUCUCCUGCAGCUCCGAGAGGUCCUGGCCCAGACUCGCCUGGGAAAUGGACGGUGGAUGACUCCAGAGAACAUUCAGGAGAUGUACUCUGCAAUCAAGGCAGACCCUGAUGGUGAUGGGCCUGAUGUGACAGAAACCAGGUUCAUCUGACCCAAGAGUCCAGGUGGGGACAAGUGUACAUGGCCCCCCAGUGCCUGAGGCCAGGGGCUGCUGCUGCCUUUUGGGGAGUGCUGAGUCUGCAGGAGUUUUCCAACAUGGACCUUCGAGACUUCCACAAGUACAUGAGGAACCAUAAGGCAGAAUCCAGUGAGCUGGUACGGAACAGCCACCACACAUGGCUCUACCAGGGUGAGGGUGCUCAUCACGUCAUGCGUGCCAUCCGCCAGAGGGUGUUGCGUCUCACUCGCCUGUCACCAGAGAUUGUGGAGCUCAGUGAACCACUACAGGUUGUACGAUAUGGUGAGGGAGGCCACUACCAUGCCCACGUGGACAGCGGACCUGUGUACCCAGAGACCAUCUGCUCCCAUACCAAGCUGGUAGCCAAUGAGUCUGUACCCUUCGAGACCUCCUGUCGUUACAUGACAGUGCUGUUUUAUUUGAACAACGUCACCGGUGGGGGCGAGACUGUCUUCCCUGUAGCAGACAACAGAACCUACGAUGAAAUGAGUUUGAUUCAGGAUGACAUUGAUCUUCGUGACACCCGAAGGCACUGUGACAAGGGAAACUUGCGUGUCAAGCCCCAGCAAGGAACAGCAGUCUUUUGGUACAACUACCUGCCUGAUGGGCAAGGUUGGGUGGGUGAAGUGGAUGACUACUCGUUGCACGGGGGCUGCCUGGUUACGCGUGGCACUAAAUGGAUUGCCAACAACUGGAUCAACGUGGACCCCAGCCGGGCACGGCAAGCUUUGUUCCAGCAGGAGAUGGCUCGUUUGGCCCGGGAAGGUGGCGCCGACUCGCAGCCCGAGUGGGCCUUGGACCGAGCAUACCGUGAUGCACGCGUGGAGCUUUGAGAGGGAGGGUCAGAUGCGAGUCGCCCGCUGCCCAACGUCGAGGGCCCUGCUGAUCCCUCUGUCCUAUUGCAGACUAAAGUUCUGGCCGUUAUCUUGUCCUAUCGCUGCCUGCGGCCGCGGUUAACCCACAGUUCCUAUAUUCACUGUAUUUAUUUGUACAGCCUCCAUACUGCUCGGUCAAAUAAAACCACAGGUCUUGGUGAAGGG